rfam:Asian citrus Psyllid, Diaphorina citri - Florida Strain, whole genome shotgun sequence.
GCUCCCAUGGCGUAGUGGUCACUGCGCUGCUGCGCUCGCCUUGCACGCGGGAGACCCGGGUUCGAUUCCCGGCGGGGUCA